AGGACGAACGCUGGCGGCGUGCUUAACACAUGCAAGUCGAGCGGAAAGGCCCUUCGGGGUACUCGAGCGGCGAACGGGUGAGUAACACGUGAGCAACCUGCCCCUGGCUCUGGGAUAGCCUUCGGAAACGGGGAUUAAUACCGGAUAUUCACUGUCUUCCGCAUGGUUGGGCGGUGGAAAGUUUUUCGGCUGGGGAGGGGCUCGCGGUCUAUCAGCUUGUUGGGCGGGUAACGGCCCACCAAGGCGACGACGGAUA
rnacentral:rRNA from 1 species